rnacentral:piRNA from 1 species
UGACUAGUAUUUCAGAUCAAGGGCAAA